CACGGGGGGAGCAAGCGUUGUUCGGAAUUACUGGGCGUAAAGGGCCAGUAGGCGGCCAACUAAGUCGGAUGUGAAAUCCCCAGGCUCAACCUGGGAACUGCAUCCGAUACUGGAUGGCUUGAGACCAGGAGAGGUGAGUGGAAUUCCCAGUGUAGCGGUGAAAUGACGUAGAUAUUGGGAGGAACACCAGUGGCGAAGGCGGCUCACUGGACUGGUACUGACGCUGAGGCGCGAAAGCGUGGGGAGCAAACGGG
rnacentral:rRNA from 1 species